UUUCUAGUGCAAUGCUACAUUUUUAUACAUAAGUAGUAUGUAAUAUUGUCCAAGAGAAAUAAUCGAGCUAUACGUAUCUACCCAUACCUAUUGGAUAUCUAUAUGAUAUAAGUUGUAGGAAUUUACACUCUGAUUGUCUGAUUGUGAUUAUAGAUAGACAAGGAUUGUUAUACUUAUAUAUAGUAUUGGCAUAGUACAGCAACAUCACUUGAGUUUAAAUGCAUGUCACGAAAUAGCGAGCAAGAUCCCAGAGCCAGCCGCCAGAACUUACUUAUUUUCUCAUGAAUAAAAUGUAUGGGAUAAUAUAGUGUUAGUAUGUACUUUUAAUGUCUGCAUACUUGCUAUAUUGGCCCGACGGCCAUUUGUCCGGUACAAGGUCUGGCGGCUCUGGGAUCUUGGACUAAAAUUAUAAUAAGUAUUGUACACUGGGGGCCUACCGCGAAAACCGAAAUUCGCAAAUUGGGGGAACCUUUCUCUUUUACUCUCACUAACACGUAAUUAGAGUGACAGAGAAAAAUGCCCGCAAUUGACGAACUUCGAUUUUCGCGGUUAUAGCCCUGGAAUCGUAAGCGAGGACCUACUAAUCAUGGUUUGGUACAUCCAAAACUAAACAAUAAGUAAUACCUACUUAAUAGGAUGACGUAAUAACGAAAAUAUGAAUAUUAUGGUCUGUAAAAGAUAAAGUUUGUUUUGAACAUUCUAAAUGCUAAUGCCCUAAUUAUACAGGAUGAAAUGUCUAUAACGGCCAGUAAUUGUCACUAUACAUAUAUUACUCUGAAACAUAUUAUCACACCUGUCUAAGUAAAAUAUUAUGAAAAUGAAAUGGUGUAUUCUAAUGAAUCAUUAAAGUACGUGGAUAGGCGAAAUAAAUAAAAGCAAAAUAUAAAAAUAAUAAUGGAUUUUAUUGUUUUACGUUGAAAAGGUUUUAUAGGAAGAACAAUAGAA